GCUGCUUCAAGCUCCUGCUGCCGUGAUUGCCUCAUCGUGCUAAACGGUGGGAAAUACAAAGCUAUUUAAGAUUCUCUGACCAGGCUGGGAGAGAUGAAGGCCAAGUGAACAGAGUAGGACCUGGUGGUGAUGCUUCAAGGAGAAUAUUUCAGCAGUCUGGGAGCCCAGAUGCUCUUGGUUUAUCAAGAAUGAUGAACAGGUACAGUCAAGCGCAGGUUUUGCAGGAACUCUGUCCUGUCCUGUUUCACAGAAACUGUCUUGUAGACAGCACACUGAUUUUCAGCUGCAGGAUAUUUCCUACUUACCCUUGGAACAAGUCGUAACUGUCUGUGUUCUAGGCGUCUAUGUAAGUGGAAGAAAUAGAAGGCAACAGAUUAGUGAUGACGGAGUCAACAUACAAAUGCUGGACCUCCUAACUGUGGAUGUCGUGUUUGUGAAAGAAUCAAACUGUUAUAUUAUUCACCUUUAUUAGCUUCAAUAAAAGAAGAAUCCCCACUAUUCAUAAUUCAACUAAUUCUGCUUGAAAAUCAUCUAUCUAUGACUUAAGGACAUCCCUCAAGGCAAGUCUGAGUCUUCUAAAGUAAAACCCAAAGAAACAUCACGCAUGUGACGGUUGGAAUCUGGUGUGUCUCAGAGACUCCUGGAUUGAAAGUUGGGUCUCAACCGAUGGCGCUACUGAGAGACCAAGGGAUCAGUCCAGGGUGAGUGGACAGUUGAAGGACUGCCAGGGUUAGGGACAAGAUUGAAUCAGCAGGCCACUGGAGGCGUGCCUUGAGGAAAGCAUCUCCUGCUCAGUGCCUUCCACUCACUGACCUGAAAAGAAGUGUUCCUCAGCCACACCCUUCCUCCAUGAUGCCCCUGCUUUGUUACAGACUGAAAAGAAAUGAAGCCAGCUUUGUCCUGAAACCUGUGAGCAAAAUAAAACAUACAUCCUUCUAAGCCGCUUCCUCUGACCUUUCGGAGCGACAGGACGCUGACUGACAAACACGUUGUUUCAUGGAUUUGGCAAGUGACUGAGGACUUUGAGGUAACGUGCUGUAACUCCUGAUUUUCAGACUUCAGCAACUUUGGCACAAA